rnacentral:rRNA from 1 species
CGAAAGCUCCGGCGUGCAGGAUGAGCCCGCGGCCUAUCAGUUGUUGGUGAGGUAUGGCUCACCAGGCGACGACGGGUAGCCGGCCUGAAGGGCGACCGGCCACACUGGGCUGAGACACGGCCCGACUCCUACGGGAGGCAGCAGUGGGAAUAUUGCACAAUGGGCGAAAGCCGAUGCACGACGCCGCGUAGGGAUGACGGCCUUCGGGUUGUAACCUCUUUCAGCAGGGAAGAAGCGAAGUGACGUACCUGCAGAAGAGCGCCGGCUAACUACGUGCCAGCAGCCGCGUAAUACGUAGGGCGGAGCGUUGUCCGAAUUAUUGGCGUAAAGAGCUCGUAGGCGGCUUGUCACGUCGUUGUGAAAGCCCGGGCUAACCCCGGGUCUGCAGUCGAUCGGGCAGGCUAGAGUUCGAGGGGAGAUCGGAAUUCCUGGGUAGCGGUUAAAUGCGCAGAUAUCAGGAGGAACACGGUGGCGAAGGCGGAUCUCUGGCCGAUAUGCGCUGAGGAGCGAAGCGUGGGGAGCGACCUGGAUUAGAUACCCUGGUAGUCCACGCCGUAACGGGGGCACUGGUGGGGCGACAUUCCACGUCGUCCGUCCGCAGCUAACGCAUUAAUGCCCCGCCUGGGGUACGGCCGCAAGGCUAAAACUCAAGGAAUUGACGGGGCCCGCACAAGCGGCGGAGCAUGUGGCUAAUCGACGCAACGCGAAGAACCUUACCAAGGCUUGACAUAACCGGAAAGCAUCAGAGAUGUGCCCCCUUGUGGUCGGUGUAAGGUGGUGCAUGGCUGUCGUCACUCGUGUCGUGAGAUGUUGGGUUAAGUCCGCAACGACGCAACCCUUGCCCGUGUUGCCAGCAGGCCCUUGUGGUGCUGGGCUCACGGGAGACCCGGGGUCAACUCGGAGGAAGGUGGGACACGUCAAGUCAUCAUGCCCCUUAUGCUUGGGCUGCAACGUGCUACAAGGCCGGUACAAUGAGCUGC